rnacentral:rRNA from 2 species
GUAAGGCUCCCAGUAGACGACUGGGUUGAUAGGCCGGAUAUGGAAGCCCUGUGAGGGGUGGAGUUGACCGGUACUAAUAGGCCGAGGGCUUGUCCUCAG